AUUUUCCCCCUGUACUCAGCACUGUGAUUUUUUCCAGGAUUGUUAUCUGUCCCAACUCCUGUAUUUAUCAAGAAAAUAUGGAUGCCUUCAUUACAGCACCAGAAACUAGAAUACACUCUGACAAAAGCAGACAGUCUAUCUGAAAAGACUGAACACAUCUCUUCUGGAGGAAAAUGAUUGCCCAGAGCUAAUAUUAUAGCUGAUAUAAAAUGAAUUAGAACAUCUCAAGUAAAUUAGACAUUCAAGGAAAGAGUACAACAAGAAAAAGUGACUUAUUCAGAUCCAUAUCUCUGGAAGGAACAUCCUUCCUUCCACGUACAGGAAGGACGUGGAGCUCUCUCACUCCAAUUUAUAGGGGGGAGAGGAGGUUCUUUGAUGUAUGUAUACCCGGCGUGAGAUUAAGAAACAACAGUUCAAAUGUCGGUCCAACCAGUUUAUUACAAAUGUUAAUAAGGGAGAUGAAGAAAGGGGAGGAUGGACACUGGGCGCUUGGCUUGCUUUCUGAGGCAUUUCUUGCAAUAAGACUCUGAUUUAUCUCGGAGAUGAGAGGUGCGUGUUGCUAUGUGGCAAUCAACAUCACUAUGUGGACAAUUUUACAUUUGAAAGCAUUUCCUUGGAGCUGUUUGCGUUUAGAAGAGAGUGUUCAGGACUGUCUACUGGUGGAAGAUCUGGCCUGUGACCAAAUAACUCCAGCUUGCUAUGGGAGACUGGGGGAUGACACCAUUGCAUCCUGUGAAGACAAGAUACAAGUUGGCGCCUCAUGCUCCCUCUUAUCUGCUAGCAAGGUCUGGAAGAUGGGAACAAAAGGAGUUCCUGCUGAGAUCCAAAAGCCAGAAGAUGUCAUUCCAAAGAGAGCUGACUCAACCACUUUGGAUGUAUAAAUCAGUCUGUACUACCAUUGAAAAGUUGUCGUCAUCAACGGAACAAUGCCCAACAAUCCCCCACUACUGAAGAUCAAUGACUGAACUAUUUAAUGUCCACAUGGAAGGGCUUUAAAACAGAUAGAUGCAAGUACACACUUUUCAAAGUUUUACAUGCAUUUGAUUUCACUCUUCCUGUUGAAAAAACUUUCCCAAACUCAGCUCUAGCUACCAGUAACAAAAUUCCCAACUAAGAGCUCUCAUAUGCUAAUCUCAGUUCAGCAUGCUUGGUACCAUACCUCAAGAAAUAAAUGACUGAGGGGAUAGCAACAAUGAAGGUAUUCCUCUGAAGGACUUGGAGAACUCAACAGGAAAAUUCAUCAGAAAUAUCCUGAGAUAUGUAAAGCUAAGUCUAUUUCGUUAAGUAUUUAGAUCUUAACAGAUAUCUACCACUUCAGACAGGAAUUCUAAUCCAUCAGACCACAGGAUAUUUGAAAGUCAGACUGCUGUUAUCUGGUAUCUUUUUUUAUAUAGAGUACUUAAUUACUGGGACAUAGACAAUGACUCCAUUGCUGGCAGCUAGAUCUGUCUUCUUUCUAGUCCUGAUUAAAUGUCUGUAUGUUGGUACAGAACAGAAACGCAUUAGCAGAACAGAUGCAAUAGUGGUGUAUACACUAUCAAAUUGUUAAAUUUACUCUUUCACUUUGAGGCCCAGUGUCAGAAUUGUUAAAAGUAUCUUUCUUUGCUCCUUGAUUUCACUAUGGAUCCGCUUACCUACUUCAUAUCUUUUAUUUGACUGUGGAACACGGGAUAAUUAUGUAUAUAUAAUUCACAGUAUAUGUGGAUGCUGAUUAGUCCGCACAGUAUAGUCAAGGGACUGUAUCUCUGCAGCUC
ensembl:lncRNA